rnacentral:rRNA from 1 species
ACACUCCUACGGGAGGCAGCAGUGGGGAAUUUUGGACAAUGGGCGAAAGCCUGAUCCAGCAAUGCCGCGUGAGUGAAGAAGGCCUACGGGUUGUAAAGCUCUUUUGUCAGGGAAGAAACGGUGAAAGCUAAUAUCUUUUGCUAAUGACGGUACCUGAAGAAUAAGCACCGGCUAACUACGUGCCAGCAGCCGCGGUAAUACGUAGGGUGCAAGCGUUAAUCGGAAUUACUGGGCGUAAAGCGUGCGCAGGCGGUUUUGUAAGUCUGAUGUGAAAUCCCCGGGCUCAACCUGGGAAUUGCAUUGGGGACUGCAAGGCUAGAAUCUGGCAGAGGGGGGUAGAAUUCCACGUGUAGCAGUGAAAUGCGUAGAUAUGUGGAGGAAAACCGAUGGCGAAGGCAGCCCCCUGGGUCAAGAUUGACGCUCAUGCACGAAAGCGUGGGGAGCAAACAGGAUUAGAUACCCGAGUAGUCCCAU